GUGGAAGGGGCAUGCAGAGGAGUGGAAAUGAUCAGAUGAUGUUUCCUGGGUCUUCUUUUAACUCCUGUGCUUGCCUCUUCCACC
rnacentral:pre_miRNA from 1 species